CGCUCACUUAGGCAGCAAUAUACUAAAAUUGGAACGAUACAGAGAAGACUAGCGCUGCCCCUGUACAAGGAUGGCUUGCAAAUUCGUGAAGCAUUCCAUAUAUUU
ensembl:snRNA U6 U6 spliceosomal RNA